rnacentral:rRNA from 1 species
GACGAACGCUGGCGGCGUGCUUAACACAUGCAAGUCGAGCGGUAAGGCCCUUUCGGGGUACGACGAGCGGCGAACGGGUAGAGUAACACGUGGGUGACCUGCCCUCCAGCUCUGGGAGUAAGCCUGGGAAACGUGGGUCUAAUACUGGAUAUGACUCCACGGUGCAUGUCGUGGGGUGGAAAGCCUUGUGCGGCUGAGGAUGGGCCCGCGGCCUAUCAGCUUGUUGGU